GGUGGCUCAGUGGUAGAGAGCUUGCCUUGCAUGCAUGAGGCUCUGGGUUCAAUUCCUGAGCACCA
rnacentral:tRNA from 1 species